rnacentral:rRNA from 1 species
AGUGAACGCUGGCGGUAGGCCUAACACAUGCAAGUCGAACGGCAGCACAGUAAGAGCUUGCUCUUACGGGUGGCGAGUGGCGGACGGGUGAGGAAUACAUCGGAAUCUACUUUUUCGUGGGGGAUAACGUAGGGAAACUUACGCUAAUACCGCAUACGACCUACGGGUGAAAGCAGGGGAUCUUCGGAACUUGCGCGAUUGAAUGAGCCGAUGUCGGAUUAGCGAGUUGGCGGGGUAAAGGCCCACCAAGGCGACGAUCCGUAGCUGGUCUGAGAGAAGGAUCAGCCACACUGGAACUGAGAGACGGUCCAGACUCCUACGGGAGGCAGCAGUGGGGAAUAUUAGACAAUGGGCGCAAGCCUUAUCCAGCCAUACCGCGUGGGUGAAGAAGGCCUUCGGGUUGUAAAGCCCUUUUGUUGGGAAAGAAAAGCAGCAGGUUAAUACCCCGCUGUUCUGACGGUACCCAAAGAAUAAGCACCGGCUAACUUCGUG